UUCCUACUCCCUCCGUUCUGAAUUACUUGUCUUGAAUUUGUCUAGAUACGGAUGUAUCUAGACUUAUUUUAGUGCUAGAUACCUCCGUAUCUAGACAAAUCUAAGACAAGUAAUUUGGAACGGAGGGAGUAGAUG
rnacentral:pre_miRNA from 1 species